rnacentral:rRNA from 1 species
AGAGUUUGAUCCUGGCUCAGGAUGAACGCUGGCGGCGUGCCUAACACAUGCAAGUUGAGCGAUUUACUUCGGUAAAGAGCGGCGGACGGGUGAGUAACGCGUGGGUAACCUACCCUGUACACACGGAUAACAUACCGAAAGGUAUGCUAAUACGGGAUAAUAUAUUUGAGAGGCAUCUCUUGAAUAUCAAAGGUGAGCCAGUACAGGAUGGACCCGCGUCUGAUUAGCUAGUUGGUAAGGUAACGGCUUACCAAGGCGACGAUCAGUAGCCGACCUGAGAGGGUGAUCGGCCACAUUGGAACUGAGACACGGUCCAAACUCCUACGGGAGGCAGCAGUGGGGAAUAUUGCACAAUGGGCGAAAGCCUGAUGCAGCAACGCCGCGUGAGUGAUGAAGGCCUUCGGGUCGUAAAACUCUGUCCUCAAGGAAGAUAAUGACGGUACUUGAGGAGGAAGCCCCGGCUAACUACGUGCCAGCAGCCGCGGUAAUACGUAGGGGGCUAGCGUUAUCCGGAUUUACUGGGCGUAAAGGGUGCGUAGGCGGUCUUUCAAGUCAGGAGUGAAAGGCUACGGCUCAACCGUAGUAAGCUCUUGAAACUGGGAGACUUGAGUGCAGGAGAGGAGAGUGGAAUUCCUAGUGUAGCGGUGAAAUGCGUAGAUAUUAGGAGGAACACCAGUUGCGAAGGCGGCUCUCUGGACUGUAACUGACGCUGAGGCACGAAAGCGUGGGGAGCAAACAGGAUUAGAUACCCUGGUAGUCCACGCUGUAAACGAUGUCGAUUUGGAGGUUGUGCCCUUGAGGCGUGGCUUCCGGAGCUAACGCGUUAAAUCGACCGCCUGGGGAGUACGGCCGCAAGGUUAAAACUCAAAUGAAUUGACG